CCUACGGGUGGCAGCAGUGAGGAAUAUUGGUCAAUGGACGAGAGUCUGAACCAGCCAAGUAGCGUGAAGGAUGACUGCCCUAUGGGUUGUAAACUUCUUUUAUAUGGGAAUAAAACGUUCCACGUGUGGGAUUUUGUAUGUACCAUAUGAAUAAGGAUCGGCUAACCCCGUGCCAGCAGCCGCGGUAAUACGGAGGAUCCGAGCGUUAUCCGGAUUUAUUGGGUUUAAAGGGAGCGUAGGUGGAUUGUUAAGUUAGUUGUGAAAGUUUGCGGCUCAACCGUAAAAUUGCAGUUGAAACUGGCAGUCUUGAGUACAGUAGAGGUGGGCGGAAUUCGUGGUGUAGCGGUGAAAUGCUUAGAUAGCACGAAGAACUCCGAUUGCGAAGGCAGUUCACUGGACUGCAACUGACACUGAGGCUCGAAAGUGUGGGUAUCAAACAGGAUUAGAUACCCGAGUAGUC
rnacentral:rRNA from 1 species